rnacentral:rRNA from 1 species
UACAGAGGGUGCAAGCGUUGUUCGGAAUUAUUGGGCGUAAAGCGCGUGUAGGCGGCUUGUCGCGUCUGCCGUGAAAGUCCGGGGCUCAACUCCGGAUCUGCGGUGGGUACGGGCAGACUAGAGUGAUGUAGGGGAGACUGGAAUUCCUGGUGUAGCGGUGAAAUGCGCAGAUAUCAGGAGGAACACCGGUGGCGAAGGCGGGUCUCUGGGCCGUAACUGACGCUGAGGAGCGAAAGCAUGGGAGCGAACAGG